AACCUUAUGGACCUGCGGGCGUAUACCUGCGGAAGGAUCAUUACCGAGUUUACAAACUCCCAACCCUUUGUGAACCUUACCAUAUUGUUGCUUCGGCGGGACCGCCCCGGCGCCUUCGGGCCCGGAACCAGGCGCCCGCCGGAGGCCCCAAACUCUUAUGUCUUUAGUGGUUUUCUCCUCUGAGUGACACAUAAACAAAUAAAUAAAAACUUUCAACAAUGGAUCUCAGAUCGGAAGAGC
rnacentral:misc_RNA from 1 species